GAUGAACGCUGGCGGCGUGCCUAAUACAUGCAAGUCGAGCGAACGGACGAGAAGCUUGCUUCUCUGAUGUUAGCGGCGGACGGGUGAGUAACACGUGGAUAACCUACCUAUAAGACUGGGAUAACUUCGGGAAACCGGAGCUAAUACCGGAUAAUAUUUUGAACCGCAUGGUUCAAAAGUGAAAGACGGUCUUGCUGUCACUUAUAGAUGGAUCCGCGCUGCAUUAGCUAGUUGGUAAGGUAACGGCUUACCAAGGCAACGAUGCAUAGCCGACCUGAGAGGGUGAUCGGCCACACUGGAACUGAGACACGGUCCAGACUCCUACGGGAGGCAGCAGUAGGGAAUCUUCCGCAAUGGGCGAAAGCCUGACGGAGCAACGCCGCGUGAGUGAUGAAGGUCUUCGGAUCGUAAAACUCUGUUAUUAGGGAAGAACAUAUGUGUAAGUAACUGUGCACAUCUUGACGGUACCUAAUCAGAAAGCCACGGCUAACUACGUGCCAGCAGCCGCGGUAAUACGUAGGUGGCAAGCGUUAUCCGGAAUUAUUGGGCGUAAAGCGCGCAUAGGCGGUUUUUUAAGUCUGAUGUGAAAGCCCACGGCUCAACCGUGGAGGGUCAUUGGAAACUGGAAAACUUGAGUGCAGAAGAGGAAAGUGGAAUUCCAUGUGUAGCGGUGAAAUGCGCAGAGAUAUGGAGGAACACCAGUGGCGAAGGCGACUUUCUGGUCUGUAACUGACGCUGAUGUGCGAAAGCGUGGGGAUCAAACAGGAUUAGAUACCCUGGUAGUCCACGCCGUAAACGAUGAGUGCUAAGUGUUAGGGGGUUUCCGCCCCUUAGUGCUGCAGCUAACGCAUUAAGCACUCCGCCUGGGGAGUACGACCGCAAGGUUGAAACUCAAAGGAAUUGACGGGGACCCGCACGAGCGGUGGAGCAUGUGGUUUAAUUCGAAGCAACGCGAAGAACCUUACCAAAUCUUGACAUCCUUUGACAACUCUAGAGAUAGAGCCUUCCCCUUCGGGGGACAAAGUGGCAGGUGGUGCAUGGUUGUCGUCAGCUCGUGUCGUGAGAUGUUGGGUUAAGUCCCGCAACGAGCGCAACCCUUAAGCUUAGUUGCCAUCAUUAAGUUGGGCACUCUAAGUUGACUGCCGGUGACAAACCGGAGGAAGGUGGGGAUGACGUCAAAUCAUCAUGCCCCUUAUGAUUUGGGCUACACACGUGCUACAAUGGACAAUACAAAGGGCAGCGAAACCGCGAGGUCAAGCAAAUCCCAUAAAGUUGUUCUCAGUUCGGAUUGUAGUCUGCAACUCGACUACAUGAAGCUGGAAUCGCUAGUAAUCGUAGAUCAGCAUGCUACGGUGAAUACGUUCCCGGGUCU
rnacentral:rRNA from 1 species